UCCAACGCAUUAUCCGUUUAGCGGCCUUGUCAGCAAUCUUAAGAGAUGGCGAACUGUCUACAACAAACUAGCAGCCGAGUGAGCGUAGCCCGCUUGCGAGCUAAUUAUCGCCGUCUUUGCAGCAACGACCAGGCAUUUACAGCAGCUAGCUACCCUGCUAACGAGGAGCGACCGCGGCUAGCCAUCACAACACGGCACGAGCGGAAACCGUUGCUUUUGCCUCUUGACACAUUUGCUCCACAGCUUCGCCUCUUCAUCAUUUCGCCUGAUGCCGCCUGGAUGACUGAAGGCUGAAAAAACGCCCCCGGGCAUCAGCCAUUGAUUCCUAUUUGUGCUUGUCUUCCUGUGGAAAUGUGAGUGCCAUGCUUGCGGUGCCAGAUAAGCAUCUUCUGCUUUGAUCCGUACCAUCCUGACUCAUGGCAGAGUGUUUGGUGGUAUCUGUUGCUCGCUUCUCAGUUACAGGAAGCCUCUGUGUUUCAGAGUGUAUGAGUGGAUUUACAGAUGGAUAAAGGGUGUGGUAAUUUCCUCUUGGUGCGCCACCAACAAAGCACCAACUGGGUUAAAUAUGGAUUUGAUUAAUAUGUCCAAAUUUCAGUAUAGAAAUUUUGUCACAGCAGCUAUUUCUUCAACUCCUCCAUCACCUGGUUGACCUUUUAUGAUCUGUUGCCCAUCUAUAUUUUUUGAUAUUUUU